rnacentral:rRNA from 1 species
UACGAAGGGGGCUAGCGUUGUUCGGAAUUACUGGGCGUAAAGCGCGUGUAGGCGGGUCCUUAAGUCAGGGGUGAAAUGCCAAGGCUCAACCUUGGAACUGCCUUUGAUACUGGGGAUCUUGAGUCCGGGAGAGGUGAGUGGAACUGCGAGUGUAGAGGUGAAAUUCGUAGAUAUUCGCAAGAACACCAGUGGCGAAGGCGGCUCACUGGCCCGGAACUGACGCUGAGACGCGAAAGCGUGGGAGCAACAGG